rnacentral:misc_RNA from 1 species
AAAUCAAUCCCACUUUGGCGCAAAAGUUCGAUUGAAUCAUUUGCAAAAACAUCCUCGUUCACAUUGAAUUCCCGAAAAUUGAACUGCCAUAUGCAAUACUUGUCAGUUCCACAUGUGGGUAAAUUCCCUUGCUCAUCUGAAAACGUAAGACCCAAUUGAAUUAACUUCAACAAAUCGACAUUAUCCUUCAAGGUUUGAUAAUGAUA